rnacentral:sRNA from 1 species
AUUUUUGCUUCUUUUUUUAACAUCGCUUUUU